UGGGGAAUAUUGCACAAUGGAGGGAACUCUGAUGCAGCGACGCCGCGUGAACGAAGAAGGCUUUCGAGUCGUAAAGUUCUUUUAUAUGGGAAGAUAAUGACGGUACCAUAAGAAGAAGCCCCGGCUAACUACGUGCCAGCAGCCGCGGUAAUACGUAGGGGGCUAGCGUUGUCCGGAAUCACUGGGCGUAAAGGGUUCGCAGGCGGAAAUGCAAGUCAGGUGUAAAAGGCAGUAGCUUAACUACUGUAAGCAUUUGAAACUGCAUAUCUUGAGAAGAGUAGAGGUGAGUGGAAUUGUUAGUGUAGCGGUGAAAUGCGUAGAUAUUAAAAAGAAUACCGGUGGCGAAGGCAACUUACUGGGCUCAUUCUGACGCUGAGGAACGAAAGCGUGGGUAGCAAACAGG
rnacentral:rRNA from 1 species